CACGUAGGGCGCAAGCGUUGUCCGGAAUUAUUGGGCGUAAAGAGCUCGUAGGCGGUCUGUUGCGUCCGCUGUGAAAACUCGGGGCUUAACCCCGAGCCUGCAGUGGAUACGGGCAGACUAGAGGUAGGUAGGGGAGAAUGGAAUUCCCGGUGUAGCGGUGAAAUGCGCAGAUAUCGGGAGGAACACCGGUGGCGAAGGCGACUACCUGGACCAGCACUGACACUGAGGCACGAAAGCGUGGGGAGCAAACAGG
rnacentral:rRNA from 1 species